UGCAGAAAUGAGAAAAUGCAGCCAUUAGGGAUAUCUGGUAUUAAACCUUCAAAGGAAUGUAAAUAUUUAAUUUUUUUUUAAUUAUUUUUGUAUAAUGCAUUAGCUUGCAAUGAAUGUGGCACGUAAUGCAUGUAAAAGUACUCCUUGGUCAGCAAGGGAGGCAGCGCAAUGCCAAACAUUAAACCUUACGUGAAAAGCAUAUUUAUACUGAGCUGACUGAUGAGAUGACAGCAUGUUUAUAUUGUUCUAAAUAUAAAGCACUGUGUACUUUUAUUUACAGGCUUUUUUUGGGAAAGUCAUUCCAUUUAACAGCCUUGAAUUUUGGUCAACUAAAUGGACGUGCCACGAAUGGACUGCAUGAGUGAGAUUACAAGACCAAGUAAAUACGUCUGAAGCAGAGUGCUGUGCAUGGAAUUGGGACAGGAACACUUCGCUGUUUGGUGUCACUUGAGACCUGGAUCUCAUCUGCGGCUGUGGCAGAGCGACAGGAAAACAAAGAGAGAAUUCUGGCUGGCUGGGCUGGUGUGAAGAUCCCUGCCGUGGGGCUGAGCUGAAGGUGUGCAAGGAGAAGGGAGCAGGAGCAGAGUGAGAAGCCAGCUGUGAACAGCACUGCUCUCUUCUGCCGCUGAACGAGCUCUUCUAGAAAAUGUCAAAGAACAUCCUCAUCAUCCAAAACCAUUUUUAAAAUGAUUGCUAAUAUGGCUCAAUUAUGCUUUCUUUCCCUGCACCCAUGUGUUUAAAUGUGAAAGAAAAUGGUGAGAGUGACUGCUAAAGAUGCCUGAUAGUGCAUAUUUGCUUGGAAGUAUAUUUUCAUAUCAAGCAAAUGUCAGUGCAAACACCUGCAAUCUGCAUUGCUUGUAACUGUAAGAAACAAAUGCAAGUUGGUUCACCACCACCAUUCUGAAUAAAGCUCCUGCUGCUCUGUG